GCUCAUAGCGUAUAUUAAGUUGUUGCAGUUAAAAAGCUCGUAGUUGAAUUUCGGGAUCAAUUUGUUGGUCGUGCCUCUGUACGUACUGGCAUUAUUGGUUUCUACCUUCUGAAGAACCUUGAUGUCAUUAAUUUGGUGGCUUGGGGAAUCAGGACUGUUACUUUGAAAAAAUUA
rnacentral:rRNA from 1 species